rnacentral:rRNA from 1 species
AUAGGGGAGCCGCAGGGAAACCGAGUCUUAACUGGGCGUUAAGUUGCAGGGUAUAGACCCGAAACCCGGUGAUCUAGCCAUGGGCAGGUUGAAGGUUGGGUAACACUAACUGGAGGACCGAACCGACUAAUGUUGAAAAAUUAGCGGAUGACUUGUGGCUGGGGGUGAAAGGCCAAUCAAACCGGGAGAUAGCUGGUUCUCCCCGAAAGCUAUUUAGGUAGCGCCUCGUGAAUUCAUCUUCGGGGGUAGAGCACUGUUUCGGCUAGGGGGUCAUCCCGACUUACCAACCCGAUGCAAACUACGAAUACCGAAGAAUGUUAUCACGGGAGACACACGGCGGGUGCUAACGUCCGUCGUGAAGAGGGAAACAACCCAGACCGCCAGCUAAGGUCCCAAAGUCAUGGUUAAGUGGGAAACGAUGUGGGAAGGCCCAGACAGCCAGGAUGUUGGCUUAGAAGCAGCCAUCAUUUAAAGAAAGCGUAAUAGCUCACUGGUCGAGUCGGCCUGCGCGGAAGAUGUAACGGGGCUAAACCAUGCACCGAAGCUGCGGCAGCGACACUAUGUGUUGUUGGGUAGGGGAGCGUUCUGUAAGCCGUUGAAGGUGGCCUGUGAGGGUUGCUGGAGGUAUCAGAAGUGCGAAUGCUGACAUAAGUAACGAUAAUGCGGGUGAAAAACCCGCACGCCGGAAGACCAAGGGUUCCUGUCCAACGUUAAUCGGGGCAGGGUGAGUCGACCCCUAAGGCGAGGCCGAAAGGCGUAGUCGAUGGGAAACAGGUUAAUAUUCCUGUACUUGGUGUUACUGCGAAGGGGGGACGGAGAAGGCUAUGUUGGCCGGGCGACGGUUGUCCCGGUUUAAGCAUGUAGGCGGAUGUUCCAGGUAAAUCCGGAACGUUACUAACGCUGAGGUGUGAUGACGAGGCACUACGGUGCUGAAGUGACAAAUGCCCUGCUUCCAGGAAAAGCCUCUAAGCAUCAGGUAACAUCAAAUCGUACCCCAAACCGACACAGGUGGUCAGGUAGAGAAUACCAAGGCGCUUGAGAGAACUCGGGUGAAGGAACUAGGCAAAAUGGUGCCGUAACUUCGGGAGAAGGCACGCUGAUGGUA